GUGCCAGCAAGCCGCGGUAAUAACGGAGGGGUGCGAGCGUUAAUCGGAAUUACUGGGCGUAAAGCGCGCGUAGGCGGUCUGAUCAGCCGGUUGUGAAAGCCCCCGGGCUCAACCUGGGAACGGCAUCCGGAACUGUCAGGCUAGAGUGCAGGAGAGGAAGGUAGAAUUCCCGGUGUAGCGGUGAAAUGCGUAGAGAUCGGGAGGAAUACCAGUGGCGAAGGCGGCCUUCUGGACUGACACUGACGCUGAGGUGCGAAAGCGUGGGUAGCAAACAGGAUUAGAUACCCUGGUAGUCC
rnacentral:rRNA from 1 species